rnacentral:rRNA from 1 species
UUUAUGGAGAGUUUGAUCCUGGCUCAGGAUGAACGCUGGCGGCGUGCCUAAUACAUGCAAGUCGAGCGAACGGACGAGAAGCUUGCUUCUCUGAUGUUAGCGGCGGACGGGUGAGUAACACGUGGAUAACCUACCUAUAAGACUGGGAUAACUUCGGGAAACCGGAGCUAAUACCGGAUAAUAUUUUAAACCGCAUGGUUCAAAAGUGAAAGACGGUCUUGCUGUCACUUAUAGAUGGAUCCGCGCUGCAUUAGCUAGUUGGUAAGGUAACGGCUUACCAAGGCAACGAUGCAUAGCCGACCUGAGAGGGUGAUCGGCCACACUGGAACUGAGACACGGUCCAGACUCCUACGGGAGGCAGCAGUAGGGAAUCUUCCGCAAUGGGCGAAAGCCUGACGGAGCAACGCCGCGUGAGUGAUGAA